rnacentral:rRNA from 1 species
UACGUAGGGGGCGAGCGUUGUUCGGAUUCAUUGGGCGUAAAGGGUGCGUAGGUGGCGCGCUAAGUCAGGUGUGAAAUUUCGGAGCUUAACUCCGAAACUGCAUUUGAUACUGGUGUGCUUGAGGACUGGAGAGGAGACUGGAAUUCAUGGUGUAGCAGUGAAAUGCGUAGAGAUCAUGAGGAAGACCAGUGGCGAAGGCGGGUCUCUGGGCCGAUACUGACGCUGAGGAGCGAAAGCGUGGGGAGCGAACAGG